rnacentral:rRNA from 1 species
GUGGGGAAUAUUGGACAAUGGGCGAAAGCCUGAUCCAGCCAUGCCGCGUGUGUGAAGAAGGUCUUCGGAUUGUAAAGCACUUUAAGUUGGGAGGAAGGGCAGUAAGUUAAUACCUUGCUGUUUUGACGUUACCAACAGAAUAAGCACCGGCUAACUUCGUGCCAGCAGCCGCGGUAAUACGAAGGGUGCAAGCGUUAAUCGGAAUUACUGGGCGUAAAGCGCGCGUAGGUGGUUUGGUAAGAUGGAUGUGAAAUCCCCGGGCUCAACCUGGGAACUGCAUCCAUAACUGCCUGACUAGAGUACGGUAGAGGGUGGUGGAAUUUCCUGUGUAGCGGUGAAAUGCGUAGAUAUAGGAAGGAACACCAGUGGCGAAGGCGACCACCUGGACUGAUACUGACACUGAGGUGCGAAAGCGUGGGGAGCAAACAGGAUUAGAUACCCUAGUAGUCC